UUCCUUUCCUUUCUCUAGUACCUACUCUCUUCAUCUCCCACACAACACAACCGACGCCUUCAAGUAAAUCCUCCAUCGACGCUCCUAGCGCAAUCCUUCGUCGAUGACCAAUCACUCGUAUACCCAACCUCUCUUCCUCCCCCCUUCAGAUUUCUCAUGCCAUGAGUUAUUUCCCAUUCUCUCUUCCCCUCCAGAUUUCUCUACUCCACUUGCUGCUACAUCAACACUCUCUGACUCACGAAAAUACCAGAGAUUCUCUACAAUCUCUUCCCCCACAGACCAACUCUGAUUCAAAGACAGCCCCUCAACCACUGAGUUGGCGAAUUCCUCCUACACCACUUCUUCAUCUGCUGCUUCUAUGUUAGGUAUAGAGAGAAAUAAUUUGAUCGUACAAGGGGGUCACUUACAGCUAUUUAACAAACAGCCCUUUUCCUCUGAAAAAUAAUAAGUCUGAGAUCAGCGGGAGCAGGGCCAAAGAUAUGCAAGAAGGAAGAUGAUGGAUGAGUUUGAGGUGAAGCAACAAUUGGUAGAGAUUAGAACUUCCAAGAGAUCAGAUCACGACCCCCCCUAUCCCUCAGGUUGUUCUCUAGUCUUCAUGUGGAGAAAUAAUGAAUGCAAAACUUGGGGUUGCAAAGGGCAAGAAAAUUUGGAGCCUGAGCUUUAGACUUGAGUGGAGAGUUCUUUAUUCAUUUCUGCUUAUUUUUAUUGGAUAUAGG